UACGUAGGGGGCAAGCGUUGUCCGGAAUCAUUGGGCGUAAAGAGCGUGUAGGCGGCCCGAUAAGUCCGCUGUGAAAGUCUAGGGCUCAACCCUGGGAUGCCGGUGGAUACUGUCGGGCUCGAGUCCGGAAGAGGAGUGUGGAAUUCCUGGUGUAGCGGUGAAAUGCGCAGAUAUCAGGAGGAACACCAAUGGCGAAGGCAGCACUCUGGGACGUGACUGACGCUGAAACGCGAAAGCGUGGGGAGCAAACAGG
rnacentral:rRNA from 1 species